AGUGAACGCUGGCGGUAGGCCUAACACAUGCAAGUCGAGCGGCUGCACUCUACGAUCUUCCUCGUACGGGUGGCUAUUGGCUGACAGUUUAUGCCUACAUCGGAGUCUACUUUUUCGUAGUGGAGCACGUACGGCAUCUUACCUUAAUAUCACAUACUACCUACGGCUGAAAGCAAGCCAUCUUCCGAUCUUGCACUUUUUAGUGUGCCGAUGUCGGAUUCCCUAGUUGGCGGGCUAAAGGGCUACCACGGCGACCAUCCGUAGCUGGUAUGAGCGGAUGAUCAGCCAGACUGGAACUGAGACACGGUACAGACUCCUACGGGAGGCAGCAGUGGGGAAUAUUGGGCGAUGGGGGAAAGCCUGAUACAGCAAUACCGCGUGGGUGAAGAAGGACUUCGGGUUGUAAAGCGAUUUUGUUGGGAAAGAAAAGAAGCAGGUUAAUACCCCGCUGUUAUGACGGUACCCAAAGAAUAAGCACCGGCUAACUUCGUG
rnacentral:rRNA from 1 species